CCUACGGGGCGCAGCAGUGGGGGAUAUUGGACAAUGGGGGAAACCCUGAUCCAGCGACGCCGCGUGAGUGAAGAAGUAUCUCGGUAUGUAAAGCUCUGUCAGCAGGGAAGAAAGAAAUGACGGUACCUGACCAAGAAGCCCCGGCUAACUACGUGCCAGCAGCCGCGGUAAUACGUAGGGGGCAAGCGUUAUCCGGAAUUACUGGGCGUAAAGCGAGUGCAGGCGGUUCAAUAA
rnacentral:rRNA from 1 species